rnacentral:rRNA from 1 species
CCUACGGGAGGCAGCAGUGGGGAAUAUUGCACAAUGGGGGAAACCCUGAUGCAGCGACGCCGCGUGAGUGAAGAAGUAUUUCGGUAUGGAAAGCUCUAUCAGCAGGGAAGAAAAUGACGGUACCUGAUGAAGAAGCCCCGGAUAACUACGUGCCAGCAGCCGCGGUAAUACGUAGGGGGCAAGCGUUAUCCGGAUUUACUGGGUGUAAAGGGAGCGUAGACGGCAGCACAAGUCUGGAGUGAAAUGCCGGGGCUUAACCCCGGAACUGCUUUGGAAACUGUGCAGCUAGCGUGCAGGAGAGGUAAGUGGAAUGCCUGGUGUAGCGGUGAAAUGCGUAGAUAUUAGGAGGAACACCAGUGGCGAAGGCGGCUUACUGGACUGUAACUGACGUUGAGGCUCGAAAGCGUGGGGAGCAAACAGGAUUAGAUACCCGUGUAGUC